UCUGCAGGACUCUGGCACCGAAAAUCUUGAGUUUUCUUGGGAAAGAGAAGACAUCAAAGAGGCAUAUGAGGUAGAGGAUAAUAAAGAAUAUUACCUCCUUUUCAAGUACUAUGAUUUUUUUGAAGUUUUCUCGAAGUUGGUUUACCAGUUUCACAAUAACACAGAGCAACUAGAAGAUCAAAAUUCCUUGUAUGAGGGAAGAGUAUCUGUGGACCAGGCUGAAAUUUCUGAGGGGACUCUAUCACAUUUACUAAGAAAUGUGGACUUCAUGAAUGAAGCUAUCUACAAGUGCUCAGCCAUCACACCAGAUGGAAGAAGUGAAAGUACAAUUAAGCUAAUAGUAGAAGACUCUGAAAUGCCCCAGGUGCAGUUUGACAGGAUUGAUAAUGAGGAUGUGGCCACAUGCAUCUCAAAGGACUGGUACCUCACGCCCAUUGUGACAUGGCUGGACUGGACAGAGAGGGACCUGAGCAACCACAGCAUCAUGGAAAUCCUGGAGGAGCAGAUGAAUGGCUUCUACAGGGUGUUCUCCAUCCUGAAAUACCCUGUCAAGUAAAAUGAGAAAUAUAUCUGCUACAUAACAGAGACAGAUGUGAACGACCAGCUUUUCAGAAUCAUCCACAAGUACCCAAAGGGAUGAGGAAUGCUUUUAUAAAGAGAAUGAAAUCAUUGGCACUGCCUGCUGAUGGGUGGCUCUGCAAGGUAGCCACAUUGGCCUUGGCCACUGUCCUCUGGCUCCCGACAUCAGGACUUACCUCAAUGCAGAGACAGGUGACACGUCUGUCAAUAGGUGGCAAUCUCUCUCUUUGUCUUGCACAGCCCAGCGCCGCAAUGCAGAAGCGCAGUGUUGGCUCCUGCAGCUCCACCCAGCUCUGUCCUCAGAACAAGAAUUGGUGCAGGAGGUGGAAGAAUAGGGUGGCUGCCUCAAAAAUAUGGGUAGGGGGAUCUACCAAUGCGGGGGAGGUCUCACCUGCAGCCUCAUAGCCCUCCCCAGUGAUCCCCAUUCACAGGCAUGCUUUGAUGCAGAAAUCAACAACGAAGAAAAUUUUUUCCAGAGAGAUAGCCUUUGUGCCAUUGAAAGCCCUUCUCCAAGCCUCAUCUUCUCUGGGAGUGGGAGUGUCAGGUGCAUCCCUGAGGUGCCUAGAAAGUUGCUUAGGGUGGUGGGUAGUCUUACCCAUCUACUGAGAGACUGAUUCUGAGUGGAGGAAAAGAACACCUUGAGGGGUUGAACAUGCUCAUGGGUUGGAGUGAUGGCUGCCUGGUAGGGAGGGUUGUGGUGAGGAAGACGGAGAUGAAGCAGGGUGGCAGGUGAUGAUGGGGAGAGGGGUGGCGCUCGAUGGCUGACCCGAGGGGCUCUCCACAGCGACUAUGAGACGUGAGAACCUUGGAAGGUUUGGGAUUGGGUAGGUA
rnacentral:sRNA from 1 species